GGACGAUAAGACCCUAUAAAGUUUAUACAUGGGGCUGGUUGAGAGUGAUUCAGAAUAGUAAAGUUUAUUAUUAGCAAGAUGUUUAGUUGGGGCGACUAAGAUAUAAAUUAUAUAACUGUCUUUUGUUUAAAUCAGAGGUGUCUGUUCGUAUGAUCCUUUUUUAGGAUUGGAGAGUAAAUUACUUUAGGGAUAACAGCGUAAUUUUUUUUGAGAGUUCUUAUCGACAAAAGAGUUUGCGACCUCGAUGUUGAAUUAAAAAUUUCUUUGUGGUGUAGCAGUUACGUAAGAAGGUCUGUUCGACCUUUAAAUUUUUACAUGAUUUG
rnacentral:rRNA from 1 species